ACAUAUGCAUUCAACCCCCCACUUUGUCUAUAUACAGAGAGAGAAACACACCACUGAUGGAAAUACUCCGAGUUGAAAAAAUGGAUCACACACUUGUUCCUGUUCUUUGUUGCUUUUUGUUGAUUUCAACUGCUUUAGCGAAUUCUGGCGAAGAACCUACAAGUAAAACCUUCACAAUGUUUCAAGCCUCAUUGUCUCGGUCACCUCACGAUUUUGGGCGUAACACAGCUCCGGGUAACCGUCGUCCGCCGCCUCCACGUAAAUCUCAUAACGCUGCGUAUGGAAAAUACGUCUAUGAGCUUCCUCCACCUGCACAGCGUAACUAGGUUAUCGCCAAGCACAAAUUACACAUGAUUACAUUAGCCAAAUAUUAUAUAAAUAUCAAAUGUUACUGGUGAUGUAUCCAUUGGUUAAAUUUCCUUUUCUUUUUGGUUUUUAAAAUAAAUAUGUAUGCUCUUAUUUGUAUGGUGAAGUUUAAGUGAGAAACUUAUGAUAAUUAGAUCAAAUGCU